AACGAACGCUGGCGGCAUGCCUAACACAUGCAAGUCGAACGAGACCUUCGGGUCUAGUGGCGCACGGGUGCGUAACGCGUGGGAACCUGCCCUUAGGUUCGGAAUAACUCCCCGAAAGGGGUGCUAAUACCGGAUAAUGUCUUCGGACCAAAGAUUUAUCGCCUUUGGAUGGGCCCGCGUUGGAUUAGCUAGUUGGUAGGGUAAAAGCCUACCAAGGCGACGAUCCAUAGCUGGUCUGAGAGGAUGAUCAGCCACACUGGGACUGAGACACGGCCCAGACUCCUACGGGAGGCAGCAGUGGGGAAUAUUGGACAAUGGGCGAAAGCAUGAUCCAGCAAUGCCGCGUGAGUGAUGAAGGCCUUAGGGUUGUAAAGCUCUUUUACCCGGGAUGAUAAUGACAGUACCGGGAGAAUAAGCGCCGGCUAACUCCGUG
rnacentral:rRNA from 1 species